AUUCAUUCCAAGUUCCAUCGUCGCAUCGUAAGUUAAUUUCCACGGAAAGAAAGUAUAACCAAUGGCGGGUUUUCGACGUUUCAUCAAACGUGCAGCACUAUGCCUGCUGUUGGCUGCUGCGAACCUCUUCGCAGCUUCGGAUGGGCAGCUGACGUUUUCAACUGGAUGGGGGAAGCGGGGAGAUGAGAUCACUAUUGACUUGGAUGAGCAGCUGCAGUAAGCGACUGGAUUUCGGAGUAGAAUGUAGAUGAAUGUUACCAGUAUAAUCAGGAAGCUACCAUAGUUGCCAGUAUCAAAAUAAUAGAACAACGCUCGAAAUAUCCGACAUAAUAUUUUACUACACUUCAUCACAGCCCAAGAAUAUCUAAAAGGACAUAUCUAAAUCAAUAGACGGGUACUUAUAUUUUGACUACAGGAUACCUACAAUACAAUACAAUAUUGGAUAUUUGGAUACAAUAUUUUUAUCGUACCUACGACGACGAGAACUAUUAUUGGAACAGUUUUAAACUUAGCUGCUUAAUAACAUUAAUUGUACCACAUAAAAUGUUUUUAACACAUACCUACUAAUUAAAAAAUAUUUACGCAAAUCAAGUUUAUUAGACAGGUAGGUAGUUAGUUACUUACUUAUUUUAUCUAUAAUUUCUGAUUAUUUGGCUAUGUAAGUAUUAUAUUUGAUUUGAGUUAAAUAAAUGAAUUCGAGCAUAUUUUUCAUCUUUUUGGAAGACCCUAUUUUUAUGCUUGUUGUUGGUAGCAGAUUCAGUUUCGCCUAGCUGCCUACAUUUACAAGGAUAUAGAUUGAUCGUUAUUGUCGGCCGAUAUAUUGUGUUUUGGCGAUCAAUAAGAUUUGCCAGUUUCUUAGAGACUUUCUUGGUUUCAUCAAUUGUUACCUAUUUUGCAUUUAUUCACAUUUUUGAUCAAAUCCUAUACAUUACCUAUUAACAAAGUUAAAAUAAGUAAUAUCACCUUGUUGAUUUAUUGAUCGACAAAGAGAUCCCUUAGUAGCGACCGGCGAUCGACAAAAAAUACGCUGUCGAUCGUCUAUUGUCUAUUGCUUACACGUUUACUCAAUUUUUGGUCGAUAGUCAAAAAUCGAGCAAAUCUGUAGGCACCUUAAGCAAAGUCGAAAUUGAUCCGCCAAAUCGAUCGAUCGUAGGUAGGUACCUCUACCUACCUAUUUUGGGAUAGGCAGUUUGCAUAAAUUUAGUUAAAAUUGAAAUUAAUCAAUUACAUUGAAAGUUACAAUUUCUAUUUCGAUUAUUGUAGACUUAGUAAGGUCACAAUUUUGAUUUUGCUUCCAGUUAGGAGUUAGAACCAUGUGUGGCCAUAUUCCUGUUGGAAUGUCACUUCUUGGUCACCUCAGUUUGUCCUCAAAUUAUAUCUUAACACAAGUAUAAUGUAGUCCGUAAAAAUGACUUCUCACGCGCUAUUUUAUCUCUAUGGGUCAAUAU